UGUUUGGAGGAUUAAAUAAGUUAAUAUACAUAAAGGGCUUAGGGCAAGGCCUGGCAAAUAGUAGGAGCUAUAUUUUUAUUAAUCAGGAGAACAACAAACUCUGGGAGAAAGGAGGGAUUUAACUCUGUCAAAUUUCCUUCCUUUUUUUUUAGCGAUAAUAAAUAAAAAGAGGGAAAGUGUUUGUUUUCAGGAGAUAGCUUUUGAGAUGGGUAGGAAGUGGCUAGUUCCAGAGGGCGUUGUUGGCGAGGGACAGACAUUCCCAGCGGGUGGACGUGUGAAGUCUUGGGAGUGAACGAACUUAUUCUGGGCGAGAGUCUUGCAGAGAGAGGAGGGCUGCAGACAGGACCUCAGAGAGCACUGGCAUUUAGGCAACAGAAGGAUGAAAGACUCGAUUGUAGACUCCAGGAGGCAGCGACUGUGUGGUCUUGCUCAUCUCAGGUUUCCCAGCAUCGUGCCUGGCGUGUGAUAAAUGCUCCUGAGGUGCGUGGGGAAGGAAGGAAGAAGCAGUGAAGGAGACAGAGGUCAGAGAGAAUCAAAGAAAACUGAGGGACAAUCACCCUGAAAGCUGGAGGAGGAGAUUGUUAAAGGGGGGUGGACAGCUACCUUGUGAACUGGUCUGCAUUGGCCACUCUCCCACUCUGGAUCCAGCCUUGCUGUCUGGGUGUGGCAUUCCAGGAUAGAUGGGACAGACUCUAUUUCAUUUGGUAGGUUUUGCCUCAGCUCCAGCUUCCAAGCAGCAGGAGCUGAAAGGCCCUGUCCCCUCGUGUCCAUCUGUCUAUCUCUUCAUUCCACCACCCCCUUCUCUCCCUUUUCCCCUUGGCUUCAGUGGACUCCUCCGUCAUGUCUCCUCUCCAGCAUCCCUCCUCCUCAGGUCCCCACUGCGAGAAGGAACGUGCAGAGGCCCAGAUGGGAAGGAGGCCUGGGACAGCUGAGGCUCUCUGGGACCUGGACCUCUUUGUUGCUCCUGCUUUGGCCUGAAAAGCUCCCCUGAGCCUUCAGGAAGGGCAUGCAGCCAAAGGCCCAUCGAGAAGGAAUGGUAGCUCCCAGUCACUGAGGACUUACCUUGUGUUGGAGGCCUUGUGUGUACUUCCCAACACACCUGUAUGGUGUGGACGAUGACUGAUUGACACAGGGGGACAAAGCCUGGCCUGCUUACCUCAAGGGGGGACAACUCUGGACCAUUCACCCCCCAGAGUUCCCCAUGGGAUCAGGCUGAGGUUAGACUCUGCUCAGACUCCAUCCUUGUGGAGCAUCUUCCCCGCCCUGUCCUGCUUCCCUCCUUCCCCUUCUCCUGAGAUCAUUUCCUCAGUAAACAUGUGCUCAAGAAUCCUCGUCUCAGGCUCUGAUUCUAGAGUAUGGGAUGAGGAAUUUAAAGCCGGGUCUAGCUGAUUUCAAAGUUGGCCUGUUGAAACCCCGUGUUGUCCAUAGCUGAGAGUGGUGAGCUGGCAGGUGUGAACGCAUUCUUGGGGGAAGGGGGUCUUGGCUAAGGAGAGGAGAGAGUCCCAGCCUUUAGGAAGGUCUUGGUGGCUUUAUUACUCCUUCCUUCACUUGCUCCCGCCUUGCUGCUGUCUCAUUCCACAAAACACGGCAGCAGCAACAAGCUACUCAGUUAGGUACCUCCCCAGGGGCAGGGAGAGGCAAGUUGGCGGCUACACUUGUGGAUGUGGGGACUGUGGGUCUGUAAGUCCCAUCCCCAAGGCUUCUCAGAGCGGAGAGUUAGUUACAUCUUUCAGGAGCAGGAGGCCAGAUGUGCUGCUACAGGAAUGGACUCGAAGUCCUGAGCAGCUCUUUGAGAGAGAGCAUGAGCUAAAACCCGGCAGGGAGGCUGCCUGGUGAGCAGGCUUCAGGCCUAGGCUGUGGUCCGAGGCCCCCAUUCGCAGCCCCCUGCCUGUGGGAGUGUUGAGUCAUCACCCUGGGAAGGCCUCUGUUGGAUUUUUCCAUAACUGGGAGGUUUAGAAAUGCCCCAGUCACACCUGCUCCAGUUAGAAUUUUGCCUCCAGCUUUCCCAGGAGGCACCCAGCCCUUUCAGAGACAGCUGCUUAAUUAAGGACAGCAAAUAAGUGAGAGCUGGUGCUCCCAGGUGGAGCUGAGGGAAUCUGGACCCCCCCCAGAGGGUGGAGCCACCGCCUGGCAGAGGAAUUGCUAGGGGUGGCUGUGGGAUGGGGGAAGGGCUCCUUGCUGGCCCCCAAAGAGCCUUCUACUCCACCUGGCUGGAGACGCAACAGACCACAAAGGACAUGGUGCCAGUAGGCAGAAGGCUUCUUAUCAUAACAAAAAGAAGAGUGCUGGGCUUUUUGGUUAAAAACCUUUACUACUGACUUCCCUAUGAAAGGAUAUAGUGUGGGGGCUUCGGUGUCAGAUAGACCUGAUUACAAACCUCUGUGCUAUCCUUGUAAAUUCUGUCAUGCUGGAAAAGUCACUUAAUAUUUCAGAACCUCAGUUUCCUCAUCCAGAAAAUGGGCAACCAUGCUCAGCACGUAGGCUUGCUGUCUGGGAUGUGGCAAGUCGGAUGAAGAAGUAGCUCAGCAAGAGGCAGAGAGAACCUUGGUGGGCUAGGAAUGCGAAAGAAAAAGGCAGGCAGCUUCACUAUGAAGGAGCUAAUUUACUUCUAGAGCCAGAGUGGUUGACGUAAGGCCACUGCUCACCCAUUCCAAUGCUCAAGGCAGACAUCACUGAUUAUGUCUGCCUAUUCUAAGCCCGGAUAAAGUCUCUAGGAAGCUUCUAUUGGUUAAUCAGAGGUGGCAGUCGAGAUGAAACCUAUGUGUUAUCCCUGCCCUUAUGUCAGGAUGGCCUUGAUAGCUACCAUGGAGGAGUCUCUGAAUAUGUGAGGAGGGAUUUAAAGGAGAGAAAGUUUGCCUUUUAGGUGUCUUCUAGCUUGAAUGCCUCGGGAUGGAGGCGGUUUCUGAUUGAGCAGCCCAAAAGUUCCAUCAUUUUCAGGCAGCUUGAGCUAUUGAGCAGAGGUCAGGCUUGGUGUGGACCUUCCAGAUGACCACCAGCUUGGCAGGGCCGGCCUCACCAAAGAUGAACUCUUAGGCUGCUUGCCCCCAGGAGCAGACCCUGAGACAAGGAUUCCAGCGCAAGUAGCUUAUGUGUGAAUUGAUCCCAAGACCUCUGGUAGGAGAUUCAGAAAGUGAGACAGGAAAGAGAAGGAAGCCAAUGUAAAGUGCAUUUCAAAAUAGGUUAUCACUGUGGACGACUGGAGUUUAAUCCUGCUGAGGAAGUCUGAGACAAUGCAGAACACGCAUCUGAGUUAUGACAUCUGAGGGGCAAGGGAGCUGAGGUUUUUAUACACCAACUCCCAUCAGUCAUUUGUUGAGGGCUACUGGGGUAGGAUGUUAACUCCUUGGUUACAGAUGGUUAGAAUGGGCCGGAGAAAGCUUUCAGGAAAAAGUCACAGGUACUGGCAGCUGGGAGUGGUAAAAGUCCAAAGCGGUAUCUGCCAUCCAUGUGGUCCUCAAAUCCGCAGGAGCCCAAGUGAGUCUGUUCACUGAAAAUCAGAGCAGCCUAACUUUUGCCAGUGUGGGGUUCUCUUUAAAAUGCCACACUGUGUCUCAUUCUGCGCCACCCUUAGGGGCAUAGAACACAUAGUCCCUGUUCUGGACUAUGUACAACCCUAAUGAUUAAAAUAUUAAACAUUUAUUUCAUACUUACUAUAGAUCAGGUGCUCUGGUAAUUGCUUUAUAAGCAUGGUCUAAUUUAAUUUUCAUAUCAACCCUGUGAAAUAGGUGCUAUUAUUAUCUCCAAAGUUCAAAGAGGUGAAGUAGCUUGCCCAAAGUCGCACAGACAGUGUAAUGGACUGAAUGUUUGUGUAACU